rnacentral:lncRNA from 1 species
GGCAUUCUAAUAACAACUCCAUUUUAUAAUCACAGAUUCUAACACAAUGCCAAUUCUGCUUUUAUUUUUUAUUUAAAAAAUGAGGUAAUACAUGUAUUAUGGGACCAGAAUGAAAAAAAUACUUUCUUCUGAGUACCUUUCCACGUGGCUCUUCUGGCUCUGAGAAAUCUUUUUCUCUACUCAGUGAACUUUGAUUUCUUCUUACCGUAAAUAAUGUCUUCUACACUUUAUUCAUUAUACCAAGGAUCAGCAAAUGAUGGACAUGACCCACCACUUGUCUUUGUAAAUAAAGUUUUAUUGGAACACAGUUGUCUUGCUACCAAACUCACUCUUGAGACUUUCUCCCUUCCUUGCUUUGAAGAAAUAAUACCAUGUUAUAAGAGAGGCUGCGGAUAGGGCUACAUGACAAGGAACUGAGGGUGACCUCUAGGGGCUGAGGGAGAACAGCCAGCAAGAAAUUGAGGCCCUUAGCCUUAUAGCCUCUAUGAAAUAAAUUCUGCGAACAACCUUGAAUUAGCCUGGAAAUGGGUUUUCUUGUCGUUUUUUUGUUUGGCUUUGUUUUGUUUUUUUCCCUGUUAAGCUUCUGGAUGAGAGCACAGUCCAACUGACUCUUAUUGCAGCCUUGUGAGAUUUUAAACAAAGGACCCAACUAAACUAUGCUUGAACUCUACCCAUGGUAAUUGUGAGAUGAUAACUCUGUUGUUUUAAACCUCUAACUUUGUAGUAAUUUGUUACGCUGCAAUAGAUAACUAAAACAACAGCCAUGCUCAAUUGUUUACAUAUGGUCUGUAGCUGCUUUUGAACAACAGCAGGGUUGAGUAGUUGCAGCAGAGACCAUAUGGCCCACAAAGCCUAAAACCUGGCCCUUUAUAGAAAGAAAGGAUGCAGAACCCUGCUUUAUACUAUGCUCUCUAAACCGGAGCAUCCCUAGAGAAAUAAAGUAGUUGGUAGGGAACACAAAAAGUCGUAAGAUGGACGUUGUAUAUAUUUCAAUAGCAUCACUUCUACUUUUUGCCAGAAGUAGAAGAAAUUACAUUUUCUAUCCUCUUUUGCAGCUACUGCAGCCGUGGAACUAAGUGUUGCUAAUGAAUUGUGAAUGGAAGUGAUCAUUCAUCUCCAGUUGUCUUCCUCUUUCUGUGAUUGAAACCCAGAUUUGGAGCUGAGUCAGCUUUGAGCAGACAAGAAUGCUAAUGCUUAAGAGCCACAGCUUGUUCUCGGCUCUCUCCCUGCAUGAAUCAACAGCAGUCCCAGGACAGGCAGAGACCAUCAGGAGCUUAACCUUCACACAGAGAGAGACUCCAGAUCUCAGAGAGCAGUGCUCAAGAUUCCAAGACAGAACCCUGGGAUUUUCUACUGUGAGUUUCAUGCUGCAAAUACACAAAUCAACAGUUAUUUUGUAUGUAUACUCAGGUUUCUUCAUUUAUUUGAAAAGGUGGAGGAAGGAAUGGAGAAAAAUGGACAGAGGUAGGAGUGUGUGGGGGUGUGUGUGUGUGCAUGCAUGCACGUGUGUGUGUGUGAAAAGGCAUUAUAUUUAAAGAACAAUGGUUUUUGAUAGCCUUAUAAUUACUAUAUUCUAAUAGGAUGCUGAGCACGGCCUUGGCCGGUUAACUCUAUUUGCUUAGUCAUUCGUUCAUUUACACAUGUAUUUACCCAUUAACUAAUAGGCCAGUCAAAUGAGGUUACUUCUGGAGUGCUGUAGUUCUGUUUGCAUAUCAGGAUCUACAAUAAAAGCAUUGCCUUAGGUCCUCAGGUAGAGGUUGAUCAGGGGCAGAAAGGCUUUUCCUGCUGACUCCACCAGCAGCAUUCUGGUAAGAUGAAAAAUGGAGAAUGAUUAGUGUGGGCCACCCUUGAGAGACUAUGGUUAGUCAUAAUUGAGUAGACACAGCAAUACCUUCACGAGACUAUCCAUCA